UACGUAGGGUGCGAGCGUUGUCCGGAAUUACUGGGCGUAAAGAGCUUGUAGGUGGUUUGUCGCGUUGUUCGUGAAAACUCACAGCUCAACUGUGGGCGUGCGGGCGAUACGGGCAGACUAGAGUACUGCAGGGGAGACUGGAAUUCCUGGUGUAGCGGUGGAAUGCGCAGAUAUCAGGAGGACCACCGGUGGCGAAGGCGGGUCUCUGGGCAGUAACUGACGCUGAGAAGCGAAAGCGUGGGGAGCGAACAGG
rnacentral:rRNA from 1 species